rnacentral:rRNA from 1 species
AGAUGUACCGGUAAGGAGCGUUGGAGCGGAUAGAAGUGAGCAUGCAGGCAUGAGUAGCGAUAAUUGAGGUGAGAAUCCUCAACGCCGAAAACCCAAGGUUUCCUACGCGAUGCUCGUCAUCGUAGGGUUAGUCGGGACCUAAGUCGAGUCCGAAAGGGGUAGACGAUGGCAAAUUGAUUAAUAUUUCAAUACCAACAUAUAAGCGCGAUGUGGGGACGCAUAGAGUUAAUCGAGGUCACUGAUGGAAUAGUGGCUCGAAGGACGUAGGCUGUUAAGUAGGCAAAUCCGCUUAACAUUAGGCCGAGAUCUUACAGGCUCUUGACACUCUUCGGAGGAGAUGGAGAAUCGAUGAUACUGUCGUGCCAAGAAAAGCCACUAAGUUUAUUAUAUGUUGCCCGUACCGUAAACCGACACAGGUGGGUGGGAUGAGUAUUCUAAGGCGCGUGGAAGAACCCUGGUUAAGGAACUCUGCAAACUAGCACCGUAUCUUCGGUAUAAGGUGUGCCUACUUUUGUAUAUGAACUUGCUUCAAAAAGCGAAAGAGGUUGCAACAAAGAGUCCCUCCCGACUGUUUACCAAAAACACAGCACUUUGCUAACACGUAAGUGGAUGUAUAAGGUGUGACGCCUGCCCGGU